UACGAAGGGGGCUAGCGUUGUUCGGAAUUACUGGGCGUAAAGCGCGCGCAGGCGGUCUUCCAAGUCAGUGGUGAGAGCCCGGAGCUCAACUCCGGAAAUGCCAUUGAAACUGUGAGACUGGAGUACGAGAGAGGUGAGUGGAAUUCCCAGUGUAGAGGUGAAAUUCGUAGAUAUUGGGAAGAACACCGGUGGCGAAGGCGGCUCUCUGGACCGAUACUGACGCUGAGGCGCGAAAGCGUGGGGAGCAAACAGG
rnacentral:rRNA from 1 species